rnacentral:rRNA from 1 species
UACAGAGGUCCCGAGCGUUGUUCGGAUUCACUGGGCGUAAAGGGUGCGUAGGUGGCGUGGUAAGUUUGAUGUGAAAGCUCAGGGCUUAACCCUGAAAUGGCAUUGAAUACUACUGUGCUGGAGGUUUGGAGGGGGGGACUGGAAUUCUUGGUGUAGCAGUGAAAUGCGUAGAUAUCAAGAGGAACACCAGUGGCGAAGGCGAGUCCCUGGACAACACCUGACACUGAGGCACGAAAGCUAGGGGGAGCAAACAGG